CUAAAAUUUGCUAGGCAGAAGCUGGAUUAUUGUUACUUCUCCAGUGCAGCUACACUCUUCGCUCCUGAACUGUCUGAUGCCCGCAUGUCAUGGGCAAAAAAUGCUGUGCUUACUACUGUUGUUGAUGACUUCUUUGAUGUUGGAGGGUCUGAGGAGGAAUUGGUCAACCUUAUCCAAUUGAUUGAAAAGUGGGACGUAGAUGGGAGCACUCACUGUUGUUCAGAGCAUGUCGAGAUCUUGUUUUCAGCACUUCACAGC
rnacentral:misc_RNA from 1 species